UCUGUAGCUCAAUGGCAGAGUUUCUGUCUCGUAAAUAGAAGGUCUGCGGUUCAAUCCUGCAUGGA
rnacentral:tRNA from 1 species